GACGAACGCUGGCGGCGUGCCUAAUACAUGCAAGUCGAACGCAGGAGACCUAGUUUGUUAGAUCGAAGGAGUGGCGAACGGGUGAGUAACACAUAAGCAACCUACCCACGAAGACUGGGAUAAUUUCUGGAAACGGGGACUAAUACCGGAUAGGUAAUCGGAAGGCAUCUUCUGGUUAUUAAAGGUUAAAAAUACGGGUGGAUGGGCUUAUGGCGCAUUAGUUAGUUGGUGAGGUAACGGCCCACCAAGACGAGGAUGCGUAGCCGGCCGAGGAGGGUGAACGGCCACAUUGGGACUGGGACACGGACCAGAGUCCUACGGGAGGGAGCAGUAUGGAAUGUUCGGCAGUGGGGGCAACCCUGACGGAGCGACGCCGCGUGAGUGAAGGCGGCGUUCGGGUUGUAAAGCUCUGUUGUGAAGGAAGAAAGGUAGAUAGAGGAUAUGUAAGUGACGGUACCUUACCAAGAAGCCACGGCUAACUACGUG
rnacentral:rRNA from 1 species